UGCAAGUCGAGCGGCAGCGACUUAACUGAACCUUCGGGGAACGUUAAGGGCGGCGAGCGGCGGACGGGUGAGUAAUGCCUGGGAAUAUGCCCUGAUGUGGGGGAUAACUAUUGGAAACGAUAGCUAAUACCGCAUAAUCUCUUCGGAGCAAAGAGGGGGACCUUCGGGCCUCUCGCGUCAGGAUUAGCCCAGGUGGGAUUAGCUUGUUGGUGAGGUAAUGGCUCACCAAGGCAACGAUCCCUAGCUGGUCUGAGAGGAUGAUCAGCCACACUGGAACUGAGACACGGUCCAGACUCCUACGGGAGGCAGCAGUGGGGAAUAUUGCACAAUGGGGGAAACCCUGAUGCAGCCAUGCCGCGUGUGUGAAGAAGGCCUUCGGGUUGUAAAGCACUUUCAGUAGGGAGGAAGGUAGUGUAGUUAACACCUGCAUUAUUUGACGUUACCUACAGAAGAAGCACCGGCUAACUCCGUGCCAGCAGCCGCGGUAAUACGGAGGGUGCGAGCGUUAAUCGGAAUUACUGGGCGUAAAGCGCAUGCAGGCGGCCUGUUAAGUCAGAUGUGAAAGCCCGGGGCUUAACCUCGGAAUUGCAUUUGAAACUGGCAGGCUAGAGUCUUGUAGAGGGGGGUGGAAUUUCAGGUGUAGCGGUGAAAUGCGUAAGAUCUGAAGAAUACCAGUGGCGAAGGCGGCCCCCUGGACAAGACUGACGCUCAGAUGCGAAAGCGUGGGGAGCAAACAGGAUUAGAUACCCUGUAGUCCACGCCGUAAACGAUGUCUACUUGGAGGCUGUGGCCUUGA
rnacentral:rRNA from 1 species